rnacentral:rRNA from 1 species
GACGAACGCUGGCGGCGUGCUUAACACAUGCAAGUCGAACGAUGAAGCCGGAGCUUGCUCUGGUGAAUUAGUGGCGAACGGGUGAGUAACACGUGAGUAACCUGCCCUUGACUCUGGGAUAACUGCUAGAAAUGGUAGCUAAUACCGGAUACGACCCUCGGAGGUAUCUCCAGGGGGUGGAAAGAAUUUCGGUCAAGGAUGGACUCGCGGCCUAUCAGCUAGUUGGUGAGGUAACGGCUCACCAAGGCGACGACGGGUAGCCGGCCUGAGAGGGUGACCGGCCACACUGGGACUGAAACACGGCCCAGACUCCUACGGGAGGCAGCAGUGGGGAAUAUUGCACAAUGGGCGCAAGCCUGAUGCAGCAACGCCGCGUGAGGGAUGACGGCCUUCGGGUUGUAAACCUCUUUUAGUAGGGAAGAAGCGAAAGUGACGGUACCUGCAGAAAAAGCACCGGCUGACUACGUGCCAGCCGCCGCGUAA